AUUGAACGCUGGCGGCAUGCCUUACACAUGCAAGUCGAACGGUAACAGGUCUUCGGAUGCUGACGAGUGGCGAACGGGUGAGUAAUACAUCGGAACGUGCCUAGUAGUGGGGGAUAACUACUCGAAAGAGUGGCUAAUGCCGCAUGAGAUCUACGGAUGAAAACAGGGGAUCGCAAGACCUUGUGCUACUAGAGCGGCCGAUGGCAGAUUAGGUAGUUGGUGGGAUAAAAGCUUACCAAGCCGACGAUCUGCAGCUGGUCUGAGAGGACGAUCAGCCACACUGGGACUGAGACACGGCCCAGACUCCUACGGGAGGCAGCAGUGGGGAAUUUUGGACAAUGGGCGCAAGCCUGAUCCAGCCAUGCCGCGUGCAGGAUGAAGGCCUUCGGGUUGUAAACUGCUUUUGUACGGAACGAAAAGACUCCUUCUAAUAAAGGGGGUCCAUGACGGUACCGUAAGAAUAAGCACCGGCUAACUACGUGCCAGCCGCCGCCGUAAGAC
rnacentral:rRNA from 1 species